rnacentral:rRNA from 1 species
AGCCCGGGUUGUAAUCUGGAGAGGAUGCUCCGGCGAGGCCUGCCGCCCAAGUUCCUUGGAACAGGACGUCUUAGAGGGUGAGAACCCCGUACCCGGCGGUCCGGCCAAGCCAUGUGGUGCUCCUUCGACGAGUCGAGUUGUUUGGGAAUGCAGCUCAAACUGGGUGGUAAAUUCCAUCUAAAGCUAAAUAUCGGCGGGAGACCGAUAGCGCACAAGUAGAGUGAUCGAAAGAUGAAAAGCACUUUGAAAAGAGAGUUAAAAAGUACGUGAAAUUGUUGAAAGGGAAGCGCUUGCCAUCAGAAUCGGUGCCGGUCGAUCAGCGUUCCUUCUGGUUCGUGCACUCGGCCGGUAUCCGUGCCAGCAUCGGUGGCCGCGGCGGGACAAAGGUGCCGGGAAAGUGGCUCCCCUCGGGGAGUGUUAUAGCCCGGCGCGUAAUGCCGCCAGCUGGCCACCGAGGACCGCGCUUUUUGCAAGGAUGCUGGCCUAAUGGUUGUAAGCGACCCGUCUUGAAACACGGACCAAGGAGUCUAACAUCUACGCGAGUGUUCGGGUGGAAAACCCGCGCGCGAAAUGAAAGUGAACGGAGGUGAGAGCCUUUACCGGUGCAUCAUCGACGAUCCUGAUGUCUUCGGAUGGAUUUGAGUAGGAGCAUAGCUGUUGGGACCCGAAAGAUGGUGAACUAUGCCUGAAUAGGGUGAAGCCAGAGGAAACUCUGGUGGAGGCUCGCAGCGGUUCUGACGUGCAAAUCGAUCGUCAAAUUUGGGUAUAGGGGCGAAAGACUAAUCGAACCAUCUAGUAGCUGGUUCCUGC